rnacentral:misc_RNA from 1 species
GAUGAAGAACGUAGCGAAAUGCGAUAAGUAAUGUGAAUUGCAGAAUUCAGUGAAUCAUCGAAUCUUUGAACGCACAUUGCGCCCGCCAGUAUUCUGGCGGGCAUGCCUGUUCGAGCGUCAUUACAACCCUCAGGCCCCCGGGCCUGGCGUUGGGGAUCGGCGGAAGCCCCCUGUGGCACACGCCGUCCCUCAAAUACAGUGGCGGUCCCGCCGCAGCUUCCAUUGCGUAGUAGCUAACACCUCGCAACUGGAGAGCGGCGCGGCCAUGCCGUAAAACACCCAACUUCUGAAUGUUGACCUCGAAUCAGGUAGGAAUACCCGCUGAACUUAAGCAUAUCAAUAAGCGGAGGA